AACUUUCAACAACGGAUCUCUUGGUUCUGGCAUCGAUGAAGAACGCAGCGAAAUGCGAUAAGUAGUGUGAAUUGCAGAAUUCAGUGAAUCAUCGAAUCUUUGAACGCACAUUGCGCCCCAUGGUAUUCCGUGGGGCAUGCCUGUUCGAGCGUCAUUU
rnacentral:rRNA from 1 species